CCGAUCAUUUUACUUACUUUAUUCAUUAUCAACGCCCCCUUUGCUUCCCGUUUUAUACCGCGUAAUGCGAAAGUAUCCAUCCCUGUUUCCCGUCCUGAGUACGAAGAACCCCCAUUGAUUCAUCCGCUACUGCGUAGUUACCUGACAGAGGAUGUAUCAGCAUCGUUUGCCCCGCACAGAGACUUUCUAGACAGGGGUAACAGGGAUAAGCGAUAUUGUUGAAGAAUGGUGGUCCAGGGGAAAUCUUAAUCUUGUUCCUGAGCGAAAGAGCUCUGUGGUUGGCCGAGAGGGAAAAAAUAUACGAACCUUGGAAAUCAUUAUCGGCUCACCUGACCAUUUAUUUUGGUAGUGACAGCCAAGAGCAGACUUAUCCAUGGAUGUAUUUUAUAAUUGGCCAUCCAGUUGCCAUUGUUUCUGGGAUCUUUUGAGAUGGUAGGAGUAGAGAGCGCUUAUGCUCGGUUCCCCUGCUCUCGCAGCAUGGACUCUGUACGGAGUACUCCGUACACAGCAUUGGAUAUGAAGGAUCAAAAAUAAACACUCGUUGAAUAAACGGUAGUUUGAUUGUAACUAGUUUGAUGAAGUGUAAGAACCA
rnacentral:sRNA from 1 species